GUGAAAAUAGUUUAUAAAAAUAUCUUUUUUACAAAAAGGAGACUACUUGAAAGUAUUUUCACU
rnacentral:tRNA from 1 species